UUUCAGUUUCCAUCUACCAAAUCCACUCACAAGGCGUUGGUCAACCCGAGGGUAUAGUAGAAGACACUUGUCCAAGUGGAACUGAACUCGGAACCAUGUAGUUGGGAAGCAAGCUUCUUACCACACAAACAUAUCUGCACCUCGACACAACCACACCUGCGCCUCGACACAGCCAGGCCUGCGCCUCGACACAGCCAUACUCCUUCUAAGGCCUCCAAUGCUGGAAUGGUCAAAGGAUAGAGGCCAUAUUAAUAUGGUUCAUCUCUUCUUGGUCGUAAAAAUUUGUUUGCAUAGAGCCAACAUCCCUACCUAGAAAAAGGCAAAGUUACAGAAACAUCAAUGACAAUUCAAACCAACAAGACCUGCGAACGGAAGGGCUUCCCUCAAGGAUCUUGAACUCAAAGGGAGGUGGAAGAAAGUACGCUUUAAAAGUAGCUGGAGGCAGUAUACUGAGAUAGAGCUGAAAAAACAGAGAACAAAUGAAGAGAAGCAGGAAAGACGACUUAGAGCCGAAAACAAUGGAGAAAAGUUGUUGGUGGCCUAAGCUCCAUACGGAGCGAAGAACUUGAUUAAUGAAGUAAAUGCUACCUCUUCACCGAUGGAAUCAUAAGAGCAUUGCCAAUGAUUGAUAUGUAAAAUUCAAGUUGUUUAAAACAUAAGAGGGUACAAAGCCCGAAAUUUGGGGGAUGGAGAUAGUCGAUUACAUCGACUCCAGUACUCGACUGGUACUUAAUUUGUCGACCCCGAAAGGAUAAAAGGGACAGCGUGAUGCAUUGGUGAACAGUCAACAGCGUUGGAGAGCAUAAAGAUUAAAGAUGUAUUUGAGAAAAUUUGUAUGACAUGGAGGACUGGAAGCUAUCUGAAUAUACGAAAAGUGUUAACAGUAUCAUGAUGAUUCGUGCCGAGUAUCAAAAUGCUGACAUCAUGACUGCUGCUCAAUGCUCUGUCAACAUUGCAAAGGCUGUAAGACGUAACGUGGACAUCAUGAACACCAAGAUUCCUCCAAACUCUGAUGGCCUUUCGGUGUGUCUUCAGUGAUGGUGAUAUCAUGCAGCCCUACAUCCUCGAACAGAGCCUUAGGUUCAAUUCAGAUGGCUAUGUGAAGUUGGUGGAGGCUGUGAUCAAACCCUGGCUGGAGAGCGUUGCUGCUGGAAGACCAUGUGUGAAAUGGUUGUCGGAGAAUUUCUACGACGUAACCAGCCCCAAUCUCUGACUUCCUAAUUCCCUUGAUUGUAAUCCCACGGAUUAAUGUGUGGGGCGCAGUUGAAAAAGAAAGACACCAACCGUCCUCUCUCCAGCAUCUAGGACGGGUUGGUAUAUGUCCUUUUAUCGUUUAUCGUAUAGAGUGGACGCUCAAUACGAAGUUUUGAACUCAUUAUCUUGUGGUCAGUAAUCCAUUACCUUAAAUUUGAAACCAUUAAAUCUGUAAACAUUAUUUUACAGGGUUUAGUCAUUCGACUGUCGCCAUGGCAGUGUAUCACCUUCAAAAAUUUAAAUGAUCAUACUGACCUCAGUACGUAUUUCAAUCUGGCAUUUAUUUUCAUCUCUGCUUGAUGAACUGCUAACUUUGAGACAUAGUGCGACACAAUACUCGAUUUAACAACAAAUGUAAACACACACACACAUAUUAGGUGCAAGAAUGACUGUGUGGUUGAGUUUACUUCCCAACCGCAUGGUUCCAUGAUCAGUUCCUCUGCAUGGUACCUUGGGCAAGUGUUUUCUACUAUAGCCCUAAGCCAACCACAGACUUGUGACUGAAUUUGGUAGACGAAAACUGCAGCAUUGUUCAUCAAAAAAUGACCGAAAAUCAUGUUUAUAAAGAACUGUUUGCUUCAUACUCCUCGUGUGCCAAUUCUGCUCAUAAGAAAAAAAAAAAGAAGAAGAAUACAAUGUGGCUGUAGGUCAGAACACCAGGGCAACGCCGAGAUGCAUUGCUAGUAUGUGUGUGUGUGUGUUUGUGUGUGAGCACCUGCAUCGCUAAAAAUAGAAAUCAAAAAUACCUGUGCCACAGAAUAGUCACAAAAUUGAUACAAACAUGAUAGGAAAAAAUUCAA